rnacentral:tRNA from 1 species
GUACUCUACCAUUGAGUUAGCAACCC